rnacentral:rRNA from 1 species
CGGUCCCUAUCUGCCGUGGGCGCUGGAGAACUGAGGGGGGCUGCUCCUAGUACGAGAGGACCGGAGUGGACGCAUCACUGGUGUUCGGGUUGUCAUGCCAAUGGCACUGCCCGGUAGCUAAAUGCGGAAGAGAUAAGUGCUGAAAGCAUCUAAGCACGAAACUUGCCCCGAGAUGAGUUCUCCCUGACUCCUUGAGAGUCCUGAAGGAACGUUGAAGACGACGACGUUGAUAGGCCGGGUGUGUAAGCGCAGCGAUGCGUUGAGCUAACCGGUACUAAUGAACCGUGAGGCUUAACCUUACAACGCCGAAG